rnacentral:tRNA from 1 species
CGGAGCAUAGUAUACCGGUAGUACGCACGAUUCGGGUUCGUGUAGACUGAGUUCGAUUCUCAGUGCUCCGA